GAGUUUGAUCAUGGCUCAGAUUGAACGCUGGCGGCAUGCCUUACACAUGCAAGUCGAACGGCAGCACGGGAGCUUGCUCCUGGUGGCGAGUGGCGAACGGGUGAGUAAUGCAUCGGAACGUAUCCUGGAGUGGGGGAUAACGUAGCGAAAGUUACGCUAAUACCGCAUAUUCUGUGAGCAGGAAAGUCGGGGGACCUUCGGGGCCUCGCGCUCUUGGAGCGGCCGAUGUCGGAUUAGCUAGUUGGUGAGGUAAAGGCGUCACCAAGGCGACGAUCCGUAGCAGGUCUGAGAGGAUGAUCUGCCACACUGGAACUGAGACACGGUCCAGACUCCUACGGGAGGCGAGCAGUGGGGAAUUUUGGACAAUGGGGGCAACCCUGAGUCCAGCCAUGCCGCGUGAGUGAAGAAGGCCU
rnacentral:rRNA from 1 species